rnacentral:lncRNA from 1 species
UGGCCCAAAAAUGCUCCAAAAUGCUCCAAAUAGCACUUUGUUGCUAGCUUUGUUAUUUGCACCUACAAACACACAAAAAUAGCUUAAAAUACAUAAUUGACUAAGAAAUAACAACAUAAAUGCACAAGAACAAGCUAACUAAGUCGCAUAAAUAUGCUCCUAUCAAAUUCCCCCACACUUAGCUUUUUCUAGUCCUCGAGCAAAACAAAACAAACGAAACAAACAAAACAUAACCUAGACCUUCCAACAUUUGCCUCAGGGAUUUUCAAUGAAACAUGACAUGCCAAAGAUCACCACUUACAUAGAUUUAAGCAAUCCUUACCCUCGAGCAUACUUAAUCAUAGUCACCAUUCACUAGCUCACAUUUAAUCAAUUAAAACAACAUUUUGAAUGUAGUAACAUGCCUUAGAGAAUUCCCUCAAUUCCUUACUAGAUACUCUCUAUUUUCACACACAUUUUUUUACUACACACCUUACACUAGUUAUAUGUGAGAAGAUUGUUGUAAACAUAGAAGACUAGUACUCACAUAUGUUAUAACAAAGAAAGCACUUUCUGGAGUUAAUAAGCACAAUAAAAGAAAAAUAGCACAAGUAGGAUUUUUAGUAACAAAUUCGUCAAAACUGCCUGUGCAGAUCAGCUGACUUUGGAAGCAAGUUUCGAAUAGUUCAGAAUGAAUUAGAGAAUGAACCUUAUAUUCUUAGAAAGCUACGGAUGUCUAUUUUCUGGACCAUUUCGCGGAUUGUUAAUAUCAUUUUUCUAGAAUAAGUUAUGGCCGUUUUAACACUGAAAGGUUUCCAAGACGCUGAGCAGUUUGUAACUGCAAUGAAAGCAAUAAACCCAAUAAAUCUAGCAGCCAAAACUGAUGCAGCCAAGAACAAGUCAGCUGACACAAAUUCAAAUAUCAGACGAAAUGGAAUUAAAAAUGAGGAUUAAGAGGGAGUAAUUGGCAUAAAGGCUACCUAAAGUGUUACAAUUGUUUUACCACAUUUCCUCUCACUUAUUGUCAUCACUAAAUGGUAGUGGGUGAGUUAAGGAGAAGAAAAUGAUGCAGUAAGAAUGGGUUUAAAAGCAGCAUUGGGGAAGGAAGGAAGGAGAGAGGAGGCCUUAGUCGAUUUCUUUCUGUUCUAUCUUCUCAAACUCAUGUCUAUCUUUUGUUUUUAUUUAAGGAUUGUGUGUAACUAAAUUUUUAGUAGUUAGGGGCUGUUUUGAAGCCCCGAAUAUGAUUGCAAUUUGUUAUGACAUUUCGUUGAAUUACUUCUAUGAAUGGAUGAAAAGUGGUUCACUACUUGUUUCAUUGAUGAAUUCUUUAUUUGUUUUCUAUGGAUGCAUACGUAGUAAGCAUAUCUAGGAUUCUAAUGCUAUGAAUAUGUGUGUGCCUGCCCUUGUCGAAUGAGGACCUACAUAUAUUCUAGAGUAGUACUUGUUAAUUGCGAUUAACAUGUGAAUCAAUUUCUAGGAUAAGUAAGACAACGCCAGUACUUACGAUGCCUUGUGAUGACUCAAACUCUUUUCAUUCUUAAUAAUUUCUACUUGUUAAAUCUAUGAACACGCCAUUCUAGAUUGCAUGCUAGGGACUAAGUUAAGUUGAAAACGCCAUUCUCUUAACAUACUACGUAAGAAAGAGUAAUAGGUUGAGUUCUAACAUUGAGCCAACUUGAACAUCUUCAUCCGGAAAUAAAAGGAAUUUGAAUGAAACAUAACAUGUUUGCAUGAUUAUUUGGUGGUGGAUAGCAAUACCCCUAACUCGUUUUUCUUAAUUUAUGAAUUACUUAAUAUCUGUUUCUGUCCCGUUUUUGUUUGAUUUAAUUUAAAUAGAAAAUCAACUCCAAAAAUCCCAAACAUUUGUAGAAGUGUAGCUCUGUGUGUCUAGUGUUUUCUUAUAAAAUUUUGUAGACUUUAGCUUAGUGUAAGUCAGUCUAAUAAUUAUUUUUCGGUGGCUGGUCAGUAGGGACAACAACCAGUUUUUGUGACAUUUUAAGUAGUUAGAUAAAACAAUCUUCUGCGGGAAAGACCCUUAUUUUCAUAUGCUACAAUUGACAAAUCUUAGCUUUAAUAAGGAAAAUCAAUAGGAUAUUUGUGUGCUACUUUGUGGUGUGCUUUUAAUCCUAUCAUAUGCUACUACUUAGAUGCGAGAACCAGUGACACCAUAUGCACAUACCAAUUUCGAACUCCACAAAUUGAAACACACAACAGUCAAGAUUGAAGUCAAGGGUUGUAACAGGGCUUGGAGAUAAUGGCUAACAAAGAAAUGAUAGGAAUAACAAACGUUCUUACAGUGAUAGCAAGCAAAGCAAUGAAAUAGACACUUGGAAUUCUCUUUAGAAUGCAGAAUCAACUUUUACAUACAAAGGGAAGAUUCAUGCAACACUUAGGGCCAAAUUCAAUGUUUUGGACCCUUUUUUAACAAACAACACUUUAGAGCUCUUGCUCAUACUCUUUUUUCUUUUCUCUACCCGUGCCUUAUUAAGGACUUUGGCACACACACACACACAAUAAUCACUUCCCCCACACUUGUUUUUUUGCAAGAGUUCAACAAAAGGAAAUCCUUCUAAAUUAUGCUUUACUAUGCUUCAAGAACAAGGGUAUGGAUGGUCCUAUUCUAGGCUAGGUGAGGAUAGUGUGGGUAACAAAGAACAUAGGCUACACAAGGCUCAACGGGGUUAAACUUAAACACAUAAUGAACGGGAUAGGCGUUUUGGCUCUUGGCUCACUAAACAACUUCAUCUUGAAUAUAUGUGCUAUGCAAAUCAAUAACAUGCUUUGAAUGAAAUAGGCAUGAGUUCUAGUAUUUGGAACUAAAUGAUGAAACGCAUUCUAAAUAGCAACCAAGCAAAGAAUAAUGAGAUCAUGCAACGACUUUAGAAAACAACGAUGCACAGAUUAUUAACUCUCCAAAUAAACGUUUAGGCUCAAGUCUCACAAGGUUGUAGCGUUCAUUUGAGUUCCUUCUUUCAAGCAUGUUACAAAAACUGAUUUUUUUUUUCUUUAUGAUUGCAUGUGAAUUCAUAAAUUAUAACCACAACCAAGCAUACACCAAAGAGUAAAUCAAAUUUUUAUCCAAGUUUAUAACUCUCUUUAACAGUCAUGUAAUUAAAAACCAAAUCCUCAUCAUUAUGUUGGAAGGUACCCUAAGACACAAAUAAAUAUACAAAAAACAACUCUUUUUGGGUUUUUCAAAACAAUUUUUCAAAUUUUUAUGAGAUUUUCGGAUUUUUAUAUCAAAACACAAUAAAACACUCCAAAACAGCUUAAAAAAACACUUAAAACAGCAAGGAACAACACUAGAAGUAAUGGGUGAUAAACUCCUACGAAUUUCAUGAAAAACAACUUGGUUACCCCCCCCCCCCCACUUAAAUCAAACAUUGUCCUCAAUGUUUCAAGAAUAAACUCACACAAAAACAAGUAAACAAACAAACAACGAAUAAACAUGACAAGUAUGGCAAAGUAAAAACCAGACAGA